GAUGAAGAACGUAGUGAAAUGCGAUAAGUAGUGUGAAUUGCAGAAUUCAGUGAAUCAUCGAAUCUUUGAACGCACAUUGCGCCCUUUGGUAUUCCUUAGGGCAUGCCUGUUCGAGCGUCAUUUAAACCUUCAAGCUCAGCUUGGUGUUGGGUGACUGUCCGCCGCCUCCGGGCGCGUGGACUCGCCUCAAAAUUAUUGGCGGCCGGUACAUUGGCUUCGAGCGCAGCAGAAACGCGAACUCGGGCCCGUCGUAUUGGCUCCCAGAAGCUAUCUUCACAAUUUUGACCUCGGAUCAGGUAGGGAUACCCGCUGAACUUAAGCAUAUCAAAAGCGGAGGA
rnacentral:misc_RNA from 1 species